UACGGGGGGGAGACAGCUGUUGUGAAUUACUGGGCGUAAAGGGCUCGUAGGCGGCCAACUAAGUCAGACGUGAAAUCCCUCGGCUUAACCGGGGAACUGCGUCUGAUACUGGAUGGCUUGAGUUUGGGAGAGGGAUGCGGAAUUCCAGGUGUAGCGGUGAAAUGCGUAGAUAUCUGGAGGAACACCGGUGGCGAAGGCGGCAUCCUGGACCAACACUGACGCUGAGUGAGCGAAAGCCAGGGGAGCAAACGGG
rnacentral:rRNA from 1 species